rnacentral:tRNA from 1 species
GGGGCGUUAGCUCAAUUGGCAGAGCGCCGCCUUUGCAAGGCGGAGGUCAGGGGUUCGAUUCCCCUACGCUCCA